rnacentral:rRNA from 1 species
CCUACGGGAGGCAGCAGUGGGGAAUAUUGGACAAUGGGCGGAAGCCUGAUCCAGCCAUGCCGCGUGUGUGAAGAAGGCCUUUUGGUUGUAAAGCACUUUAAGCGAGGAGGAGGCUACUAGUACUAAUACUACUGGAUAGUGGACGUUACUCGCAGAAUAAGCACCGGCUAACUCUGUGCCAGCAGCCGCGGUAAUACAGGAGGGUGCGAGCGUUAAUCGGUAUUUACGUGGGCGUAAAGCGUGCGUAGGCGGUCUUUUAAGUCGGAUGUGAAACUCCCCGAGCUUAACGUUGGGAAUUGCAUUCGAUACUGGGAAGCUAGAGUAUGGGAGAGGAUGGUAGAAUUCCAGGUGUAGCGGUGAAAUGCGUAGAGAUCUGGAGGAAUACCGAUGGCGAAGGCAGCCAUCUGGACCUAAUACUGACGCUGAGGUACGAAAGCAUGGGGGAANACAAACGAGGUAUUAGACUACCGUGGUACGUCCACUCGUACCGUAACGUAAGUAGUACUACUACGUCCGGUUCGGGUCGUUGUA